GAUGCUAGAGCACACAUCUGAGACCUCCACAUAGGGGUCCAUUCCUGCCAGAGAGAGACAUUAGAAUCAGCUGUUAGCUAGCACAGUCACUCCCACUCCCACAGAUCCCCAGCUGAGCCAAACAAGGAGCUGACACAACCUACCAGCACAAGCCACAUCUUUGUUAGACAACUCAGACAAGGAUCCAGACUAAAGCACUGCACACUCCCGAGAUGGGAGGCAUUUCAAGUCCAGAGAAUGGAAGAGUUAUGACUCAUCUUAAUAACAAGAUUGUGCUGGGCAUGUGAAUUGCAGUGCAGUCCUGGGGGAGGAACACACGGCAGCUUUGCUGAGGCUUCAAGAAAUGUCGCAAGAGUGAGAGGGAAGUAUAUGUCAACAUUUUGCAGGAAUUACAGGGAAGCUUGUAUCCUUCUCACUUAACUCCAGAAUGGAGUCUUAUAGGUUCUCAAAUUCAUGUCUUCUCUGCCUGCACCAAAUGUCUCUGAUCAGGACUGCUGAAGGAGUACAGAAGCCUGGUGCCAGCAGGAGGUGGAUGAACACAGACACCACUUGCAUUAGCAGAUUCUCCCAAAUGUCAAGGAAGGACACAUGGUGACAUUGCAAAGAGCAGGAGUAGGGAAGAACUGAUUGCAAGCCAUCUCUCAGGGCAAGAAAAGGUUGCUCUCUGCAGCAUCAGUGUUGAGCCUGGAUUCCUCAGACAGAAUAUCAGAGGCCCUCUCUGACAGUCAUGUAUAUGGACAUGCAAUUAAAAAUGGUUGGUUUUGAUGG